rnacentral:rRNA from 1 species
GAUGAACGCUGGCGGCGUGCUUAACACAUGCAAGUCGAACGGAAAGGCCCUGCUUUUGUGGGGUGCUCGUGUGGCGAACGGGGGUGUAUCACGUGAGUAUCCUGUCCUUGACUUUGGGAUAACUUCAGGAAACUGGGGCUAAUACCGGAUAGGAGCUCCUGCUGCAUGGUGGGGGUUGGAAAGUUUCGGCGGUUGGGGAUGGACUCGCGGCUUAUCGGCUUGUUGGUGGGGUAGUGGCUUACCAAGGCUUUGACGGGUAGCCGGCCUGAGAGGGUGACCGGCGACAAUGGGACUGAGAUACGGACCAGACGCCUACGGGAGGCAGCAGUGGAGAAUAUUGCACAAUGAGCGGAAGCCUGAUGCAGCAACGCCGCGUGCGGGAUGACGGCCUUCGGGUUGUAAACCGAUUUCGCCUGUAACGAAGCGUGAGUGACGGUAAUGGGUAAAGAAGCACCGGCUAACUACGUG